CAUACCAUUGGCUCUCUAACAGGACACAUGAGUUGGGAGUUUGCUGCAAGCUGGAUUUCUUCAAACCAUUUGAUAGAAUUGAUUUGCGUUUCCUCCUUAGAUUACUCUAAUCAGAGGUUUCUCUUCUAAAUGCAGUGCAUGGAUGGAAAAUUUGCUCACUUCUUGCAAGGUAGCUGUAAAUGUGCACGGAGAUUUGGGGGAGUGGAUUUUGUGUAAGCGGGGUCUUAGACAAGGAGACCCUCUUUCACCAUUCCUGUUCAUUCUUGCAGUUGAUCCCUUGUGUAGGUUGCUGAAUAAUGCUACUUCUACAAAGAUUUUUGAGGGUUUGGAGAAUCUGUGGGUUUGUGGUGGUACGACAAUCCUUCAGUAUGUAGAUGACACUCUUGUUUUUGCCAAGGCUAGAAGAGAAAAAAUUGCAGUGCUGAAACUCAUACUAUACUGCUUUGAGAUGGGCUCUGGACUCUCAAAUAAUUGUCACAAAAGUUCGGCUACUCCAGUUGGAAAGGCCCAUUUGAUGCGGUGGAUUGCGCUAUCUGGCUUAAUUGUUCUCUCUCCAUCUUUCCUCUUCGGUACCUUGGGCAACCUCUUUAUGGAAGCAAACCAUCAAGAGCAUUAACAGAAUGGAGGUCAGAUUGGCAAGCUGGAAAGAUGGGCUAUCAAUCGAAUGGAUAAGCUGAGACAAGGUUUCAUAUGGAUGGGAGAUCACCAUGCUCAUGGAGUUUUUUGCAAGGUGAACUGGAGCAUGGUAUGCCUUAAUAAAGAAGGUGGUUUAGGGAUAAAGAACAUCUCCUUGUUCAAUCAAGCCUUGCUUGCAAAAUGGGGUUGGAGGUAUCUUAAAAAUGAUCAGGGACCAUGGAUGGCACAGGUGCACCUAGCCUAUUACAGAAAAGUUAAAUUAACCAGAAACUGGAAGCCAAAUAGAAGGUGUUCAAAGUUGUGGAAGGAUGUAAGUUCACUGCCUAGUUUUUGGAACAGAAUUAAAAUUCAUUUAGGUGAUGGUCGAAAUACUCUCUUUUGGAAGGAGAAUUGGAUCUGCGAUGCACCACUCCAAGUGAUCUUCCCUUUACUCUAUGUAAGAAGUCGAAGAAAGAAUAGGACUGUUGCUAAAUUCUAUAACUCAAAUUCUUCAAUAUGGAGAAUUAAAAGGCCUAAAGCUAACAAUCAAGAUGCUCUGUAGGAAUUUGAUAGCUUA